GGGAGGGAGCGCGCCCCGCCAGCCACCCAGCCCCACGCGCGCCGCAGGUCGGGCCAACGCGGGCGACCCUCUGUCCCCGCCGCCCACUGUGCGGUCUGGAGCUGAGGACAGACACCCUCGCACGUUUUCUGCGGCGAGCCUUCCAGCUCGGACACCAGGCCAUCCGCCCCCGAUGGCUUCUUUUUCUCGGCGCUGGCAGCUGAGGGGUGGGAGCAGUUUAGUGUAAGCGGUAACCAUGACUACUGAAGUUGGCUCUGCAUCUGAAGUGAAGAAGGGCUCUGACCAGGCUGGAGCAGAUGCCUCCAAGGAGAAAGCUAAAGAAGUAGAAAAUGAGCAGACUCCAGUAUCUGAGCCAGAGGAAGAAAAGGGUUCCCAGCCAGGUCCUCCGGUUGAGAGGCAAAGCACUCCCCGCCUGCGGAAACGAGGGAAGGAUCCGUCUGAGAACAGGGGCAUCUCUCGAUUCAUACCCCCGUGGCUUAAGAAGCAGAGGUCUUACAAUUUAGUAGUAGCCAAAGAUGGAGGAGAUAAAAAAGAGCCUACUCAAGCUGACGUGGAAGACCAGAUCUUAGGCAAAGAGGAAUCCCUUCCUGAAGAAGAGAGUCGGGCCAAGGGUGACGCAGAAGAAAUGGCUCAGAGGAAGCACCUGGAGGUUCAGGUGGAGGUCAGGGAAGCAAAACCAGCCUUGAAAAGCAGCGUGGAGACCCAGCCUGCUGAAGAAGUGAGGAAGGACAAGGAGGAAACGAUACAAGACACACAGGAAGAGAAACUGGAAGGAGGUGCAGCCAAAAGGGAGACAAAGGAAGUACAGACAAGUGAGCUGAAGGCAGAGGUGGCCUCUCAGAAAGCUACCAAGAAGACCAAGACUGUCCUGGCCAAAGUGACCCUUCUAGAUGGCACGGAAUACAGCUGUGACCUUGAGAAACGUGCCAAGGGACAAGUGUUGUUUGACCGAGUGUGCGAGCACCUGAACCUCUUGGAGAAGGACUACUUUGGACUUCUAUUUCAGGAUCAUCCUGAGCAGAAAAACUGGCUAGAUCCUGCAAAGGAAAUAAAGAGACAGCUGAAAAAUCUUCCCUGGCUGUUCACUUUCAAUGUGAAAUUUUAUCCUCCAGAUCCUUCUCAGCUGACUGAAGAUAUCACCAGAUACUUCUUGUGCCUUCAGCUAAGGCAGGACAUCGCCUCUGGCCGCCUGCCCUGCUCCUUUGUGACUCACGCCCUCUUGGGAUCCUACACCUUGCAGGCCGAGCAUGGGGACUAUGACCCAGAAGAAUAUGACAGUAUUGAUCUUGGUGACUUCCAGUUUGCCCCGGCCCACACCAAGGAGUUGGAGGAAAAGGUGUCAGAACUGCAUAAAACUCACAGGGGCUUAUCUCCAGCACAAGCCGACUCUCAGUUCUUAGAGAACGCAAAGAGGCUUUCCAUGUACGGUGUUGACCUGCACCAUGCCAAGGACUCUGAAGGUGUGGACAUCAAGCUGGGUGUGUGUGCCAAUGGCCUUCUCAUUUACAAAGACAGACUAAGGAUCAAUCGUUUUGCUUGGCCGAAGAUUUUGAAAAUUUCCUAUAAGCGCAGUAAUUUCUACAUUAAAGUUAGACCAGCAGAGCUGGAACAGUUUGAGAGUACCAUUGGAUUCAAAUUGCCAAACCACCGGGCAGCUAAACGGCUAUGGAAGGUGUGUGUGGAACAUCACACUUUCUACAGGCUUGUGUCUCCAGAGCAGCCACCAAAGACCAAGUUCUUGACCCUGGGGUCCAAAUUCCGCUACAGCGGCCGCACGCAGGCACAGACCAGAGAAGCAAGUACCCUCAUAGACAGGCCGGCACCACAAUUUGAGCGUGCCUCUAGUAAACGUGUCUCGAGGAGCCUAGACGGAGCCCCGAUUGGUGUUGUGGACCAAAGCCCUCCUGGAGAGGGCUCAGUGCCUGGCCCUGGAGUUAUCAGCUAUACUACCAUCCAGGAUGGCCGGAGGGACAGCAAAAGCCCAACAAAAGCUACACCCCUGCCCGCUGAGGGAAAGACCACUUGCAUGUGCCCCCUGUCACCUCUCAUUUGCUGUACUUCAUCUUUUCCUCCUUACCUCCUGCCAGUCCUUGAAGUGGACUUGCUGUCAGACAUUUCAGAGGAAGACCCUUUUGGGGAGGCUGAUCAGACCACACUCGAUAGCUUCGAGCUGCUUUCCAUGGGUGGGACAUCAGAGCAGGGUGACUCUGAAGUGGCCACAUUGGAUUCGGUCUUAGAUCCUAUUGUAGCCCCUCGUCAACCUGACUGUCCUUCCAUGCCUGAGAAGACUGUCAGGUCGGCUGUCCCUAAGGAUGCUGAGCUGGGUUACUUCUCCUUUACCUUUCACAAAUGCUUUGCCUCUGGCUUCCCAUCCCUCCUUGAUGAAGAUGGCUACCUGGCGUUCCCCAGCCUCCCCAAGCUCUGGGUUUCUUUCCUCCCUGCUGAUGUCCAGCAUUGCGUCCCCAUCACAUCGCCUUCCUUCAUCCCUUCACUCCUCCUCAGCUUCGGGCUGCUGCUCUCGGCUUCUCAGUCGGUUGCUUUUUCUCUUACCUUUUCCCUUCCUCUGGCACUAGCCCUCUGCUAUCUGGAAGGGAAGGCCACUGCACUUCAUGUUUUUUAUGAUUGUGAUUUGAGUGACAAACCAGAGGAAGAAGAAGCAGUGACCAUCAUGCCUCCAUAAGCUACAGUGUCUGAAGUCUACCCUCCUGUUUUUGUUAUGUUCCCCCUUAUAAUAUAGAGUCUAGCCAUGUGCAUCAAUUUUACUGACUACCCUCAUAGUAUGUACACAUUUACACACACACACACACACACACACACACACACACACACACACACACACACACGCACACACGCACGCACACACUCACGAGCAGUAAGUUAAGCUACUUUUGCUAUUUGAAGUCCAGGUCUAUACACAUUCUAAAUUCAGUGCAAACUGGUAAGAUCAUUGUAUGAAUAUCUUAGAUCAUACAAUGUUAAAGGAGUGUCUGAGCAUUCAUAUUGGCUAUGUUUUGAAGAUAAUAAGUAUCAAUAUUGUUCCUUAAGCAUGUGAACAUUGUUUUGAAACAAAACUUAGAAUGUUUUGGGCAUAAUUGUAAUUGACACGUGUCAGGAGAACAUAGUAUUUUAAUCUUGAUCAAAACUCAAUAUUGCACUUGCACUUAUGAGCCCAAGUCUGUAUGUAAAUUACACUCCUGAUGUUUUAAGUCUCAGAAACUCCAUGUCUUUUGCACUUUUAGCAUUUGGGGACCAAGUAGAUAAAUUUUACUUAGUCUUCUUUCUUUUACCCUGAAUUAUGUAAUUAUAUAAGAGUAAUUAUUGAGCAUUUUAUAAGAUAGAUGAUAAUUCGGUUAUAGUGUGUAUUAAAAAUGAACCAUGGCUUUGAGAUAUUAGACUAAACAUGAGGUUGCCCUUCCCAUCUAUGUAUUUAGAAUUAGGUGUCUGAGACUUCUUACAUCUGUGUAAGAGCUUGUUUGACGUGUUCUACCUCCGCACUACUAGGAAGCCAGCCUUAGCAUGUACAGCACGAUUUUAAUUAUUUUGUUCAAUAUGGUCUGGUUAAUUAAGUUAAAGUAUCUUGUAUCUUAGGAAGUCUAUCAACACAGAGUACAUAUCAUAGAAAAAAAGGCAAACAAAAAGAAAAAUAUAAGAAAUUGAAUGAAUAUGCCAUUGUAGAAGAAAUUGUAAUUCUUUACAUUUACUUGAGAAAUAACCACAAAUCAACAUUUGAGUGAAUUAAAUGUCGACCAAGAAAGUAGAAGCUGACUCUUCCCAAGUAUAGUAGCUAUGUCAUGCUUUUCACCUCUGAUACAGAGGUGGGGAAAAGCUCUUAGCUCCCACUUACCUCUCACACAUACCACAGAAUGGUUAGAAAACAGGAUUCCUUCCACUCUGUGGCUUUGUCGUGGCAGCCCAGGAGGGGAGCUCCUGGAUGGGCUAGCCUGGGAAGCUGACGUUCCUUUUGUGUCUGUUUUUGUUUCUGACAUGAGUCUCCUAAUGUCAACAUUUACUCAAUAUUUCUUAGUCCUACUUGCAGAUUGAUUUCUGGGGUCAUUAAAUAUUUGGAAAUAUCCAACUGCAGAAAACUAUUACAUAAAAAUUUUAUGGAAAGUGGCAAUAUAUGAAAGAUUAUUUGUAAAUAUCUCCUUUAAUAUGAAAAAAAAGCUAAUUGGCUAAUUUUGCCCCAAGAAAACCUAUGUUUAAAAACUGACAGGGCAAUGUAUAGUGAUGUAAAAUUUGUAACCUACUCAGAGCUGAAGACAAAUUUGGCGUCUCUGUACCUCGUUCCAUUGCUGCUUGGCUUUUGCCAUCUUUGCACUCUCAUUUUUAUUCUGCUUAAAAAAGAAAAUUCUUUAAAGUGGAGCGCACUCUAGGGACUGAGAAAGAGUGAGUUGCCCUUGUCCAUCCCACCCACGCAAAGGACCAUUUCAUCAUGCACAGCAAGCAACUAGCGAAGACAGCCACUGGCUUAGCGUGUCCUGGGGUAGGGCAAGCUUGUCCUGCCACAGCGCCCAUUCAGUCGGACACAGCAUCUCUGCCCUGGAGGUGGAGCCCUGCCAGGAGCCCUCCUUUCUGCCUGUGUGGCCAGUGGCUUUGCAGGGGAAGAUGGAAGAUGCAGAGAUGUCCCCAGAGCAGGACCUGGAUAAGGCCCAGGAGGCCAUUCUGAAACAUCAGGCUAGCAUUAGUGAACUCAAGCGCAAUUUCAUGGCGUCCACACCUGAGCCUCGCCCCAGUGAAUGGGAGAAGCGGCGGGUCACACCUCUGCCUUUCCAACCACAAGCGAGCCUAGAAGAGGAGAUAACAUCCAUUCUGUUUAGUGGGCAGGGCUUUUCUCUUAGUGUGAAAGCCUCCUUCCCUUCAGCCACCACUUGGACAGCAGAGGGCCCUGUUGUGAACGCUAAUGCACCCAGAGAGCCGCUUUCUUCUUCGCCCUUUUCACACUCGCCUGAGACUCGUCCUCCCACGUCGGAAGGGCCUUGCACUGGACCCAGGGACGCUGUUAAGAGUUCACAUGAGACUCUGAAUGUAGUGGAGGAGAAGAAGCGGGCAGAGGUUGGGAAAGACGAAAGCGUAAUCACAGAAGAAAUGAAUGGUAAAGAGAUGUCACCGGGGCAUGGUCCUGGGGAGACUCGUAAGGUGGAGCCUGUGGCACACAAAGACUCCACCUCCCUGUCUUCUGAGAGCAGCAGCAGCAGCAGUGAGAGUGAGGAGGACGUGGGAGAGUACCAGCCCCACCACCGAGUGACCGAGGGCACCAUAAGGGAAGAGCAGGAGGAGUGUGAUGAAGAGCUGGAGGAAGAGCCCGGCCAAGGAGCCAAGGUAGUAGAGAGGGAGGCAGCAGUGCCCGACGCCGUCCCAGACAGACAAGCAGGGGCCAGUGUGCUCCCAGUAGAAACAGAGGCCCAGGAACAUGUAGUUGCCCAAAAGUUACCUGGAGAAAAGGGUGCACACGGAGGCACUGCUGAGCAGGACCCGAGAGAAGAAGCAGAGGAAGACCCGCACAGAGUUAAUGGAGAGGUGCCCCAUCUUGACCUUGAUGGUUUGCCAGAGAUUAUUUGUUGUUCAGAGCCACCAGUGGUAAAAACAGAGAUGGUAACAAUUUCUGAUGCCUCACAAAGGACAGAAAUCUCCACCAAGGAAGUCCCCAUUGUUCAAACUGAGACCAAAACCAUCACAUAUGAGUCUCCACAGAUUGACGGCGGGGCUGGUGGUGAUUCGGGCGUGUUACUGACCGCACAAACCAUCACAUCUGAGUCCGCGUCAACAACGACAACCACACACAUCACCAAGACUGUGAAAGGUGGGAUCUCUGAAACACGAAUUGAGAAACGCAUUGUGAUCACAGGAGACGCAGCUCUGGAUCAUGAUCAGGCGCUGGCUCAGGCCAUACGGGAAGCGAGAGAGCAGCACCCUGAUAUGUCGGUCACAAGGGUGGUAGUGCACAAAGAAACAGAGUUGGCGGAGGAAGGAGAAGAAUAAGAAAGUCUUUUUUAAACAACAUUUAACUUCAUGAAUCUGAAGAACUUUGACCAUUCCAAGUCUUAACGCCGUACCACUACUCCAGCAAAACUGUGCUCCGACUGGUAACAGUGACCAGAAGCCUGAAGAAUUAAAAUGCCAACAGCAAACCAUACCUUAACAGCUCUGGUCUCUACUAUUCCCAUACACUUCUAAUAUAUUGUUUGUUAUAUAACCACUUCUAGACACCCUGCUCCCCUGUUCUUUCUUUCCCUACCUUUUUUUAAUUCUUUGUUUUUUAUUAGGGUUUGUGUUUGUUUCCUUUCCCUACCUGCUUUUUUGACUCAUUUGCUCAAAUGACAGUGAACAAAGCCAGCCGGGCUGGUAAGGCGCUGUUCACCUGAACAGGUGCUGUUAUGUGGAAAGGAAACUCGUGACUAAUUUAGAUAGCAAUUUUCAUUCUUCAAGAUUGUCUCCAUUCAACUCUUACAGUCAAUAUUUACAGCUUUCAGACUGCAGUAGGGAUACUGCAUGAGAACAUAUUAAUACCAAUUAAAAGCAUUUUUUACAUCUUGAAAUUUUUCUAAUAUUAGGGAAUUUCACUACGGAUGAUUUUUAUAUAGAUCUUUGACCUUCCAGUCCUUUGACUUUGUACUUCAGUAGAGUCAGACAGAGACUCUCUGGACUGGAGAAUUAAGAAGCUCACUGACCAGGUACUGUGUUGAGAGACCCUCGGCCCACAGUGCAGUACUUCUCAGACAUGCGCUUUGCCACAGCAUUCCAGAACAGGAGGAGAACCACACCGUGUGCCCUUCCCUUUUACUAAGAGAAAACCAGGCAGCUUCCAGCCUUAGAGAUUUCUUUCUUAACCUUCCCAGUUCCAGUUCUUCCCACUGUCUGAACACUUGCUUUGUAUGAAACUUGUCUGUCUCCAUGUACACGGACCCUUUGCUACUGAGCAGGUAAUCUCUGACAUAGUUUGAUGACUUGCAGCUUUGAAGACACUGGGAAGAAGAGGUUGGGGACAGUCGGUCGGGGGUUUGGUUGGUUGUAAGAAGCCAUACCAUGUAAAACUAACAUCAGAGAAGCUGAUAGGAGUUUAACUGUAUUGAACAUUCUUCUCAUUUGCUUUUGACUCUAUGUAUAGUUAUGACGGCAGAUUAGAUUUAUGUCAGCUUCAAGUUGUAUUAAAUAUUUUGCUUUAUGUAAUACUGUUAUAAAAUAAAAGUUUGUUUAUUCUA